rnacentral:rRNA from 1 species
UACGAGAGGCCCAAACGUUAUUCGGAAUUACUGGGCUUAAAGAGUUCGUAGGCGGCAUGAAAAAUAGGGUGUGAACGCCCUCGGCUCAACCGAGGAAUUGCGCUCUAAACUGUCGUGCUCGAGGAAUCUAGAGGUGAGCGGAACUGAUGGUGGAGCGGUGAAAUGCGUUGAUAUCAUCAGGAACACCGGAGGCGAAGGCGGCUCACUGGGGAUUUUCUGACGCUGAGGAACGAAAGGCAGGGGAGCGAACGGG